CCUACGGGGGGCAGCAGUGAGGAAUAUUGGUCAAUGGCCGAGAGGCUGAACCAGCCAAGUCGCGUGAGGGAAGAAUGUCCUAUGGAUUGUAAACCUCUUUUGUCAGGGAGCAAAGUCACCCACGUGUGGGUGUUGGAGAGUACCUGAAGAAAAAGCAUCGGCUAACUCCGUGCCAGCAGCGGCGGUAAUACGGAGGAUGCGAGCGUUAUCCGGUUUUAUUGGGUUUAAAGGGGGCGUAGGGGGGAGCGUAAGUCAGCGGUAAAAUUGGGGUGCUCAACGCCGUAGAGCCGUUGAAACUGGGGGUCUUGAGUGAGCGAGAGGUAUGCGGAAUGCGUGGUGUAGCGGUGAAAUGCAUAGAUAUCACGCAGAACCCCGAUUGCGAAGGCAGCAUACCGG
rnacentral:rRNA from 1 species